UAAUUUUGCUUAUCUGGAGUGCAAGCUGUGGAGAAUAAAAAAAACUUUGCGUGCUAGAAAAACAAUUGACUGCACUUUGGGAAUCAGCCUGCCAAUUUUAGUUUUAAUUUGAUACCCAGAGGGAAAAUUCAAAAGAGCUCAAUGACUGAAUAAAUCGUUUGCUUGAUUUUGUGACUGAUUUUGUACCAGACUCAAUUUCUCAAUGAUUCACGGAAUGACUGACACCCUCAGUCUCUUGCUAACUCGACUUUAACCGUAUCUUGUCUCUCAAGACUGCCUGGUUAAGGAUGAUGUUGAGUAGUUUACGCCCAUACAGGUAUAGUUAUUUUUUUCUUUUCUUCAUUUGACCUACAGAAAGGAUGGCGAUGACAAAGCUCGUCCUGUUAUCAUCCAUCGGGCCAUCUUGGGCUCCGUGGAGAGAAUGAUUGCAAUUCUGACAGAAAACUAUGCUGGGAAAUGGCCCCUUUGGAUCUCUCCAAGGCAGGUGAUGGUAUUGCCUGUCAACCCAUCUUGCGAGGAGUAUGCCAAGAAGGUGUGUAAGCAGUUCACAGAUGCAGGCAUGAUGGCGGAUUCUGA